rnacentral:rRNA from 1 species
AGGCAGCAGUGAGGAAUAUUGGUCAAUGGGCGGGAGCCUGAACCAGCCAAGUCGCGUGAGGGAAGACGGUCCUAUGGAUUGUAAACCUCUUUAGGCGGGGAGCAAUGCCGGGCACGCGUGCCCGGAGGGAGAGUACCCGCAGAAUAAGCAUCGGCUAACUCCGUGCC